UACAAAAUUUUAUCUUUAUCAGUAUAUAUGUAUAUGGAUACUGGAUAUACACGUAUUUGUGACCUUAUCUCAAUACUGAAGAGAAUGCCCCAAGCCGUCAAUGUUAUAGACGGACCAUUCUCACAUUUGCCGUCAGAGACACGGCAGAGUCCACACGCAAACGAAAACAUACUGUUUAAAAGCUUUUUGCCAUCAAUUUUUGCCGCAAUCGAGAUAAAGAUUUUGCAGAAAACCCCAAAGUUCUAUUUCUUCCCUAUAUUUGGAGGGUCCCUUGCUCACAAGAUAAGAUUCAUAAAAUGAAAGAGCAUUAAAAGCGCAAAAAGAGCAAACCUUGUAUUCUAGCCAUCGGCCUCUUGUUUAACUUUACGUGGUUUCUUUGAUAAUUAUGUAUACCGUA
rnacentral:lncRNA from 1 species